AAAGAGAGAAGAAGAGAGAGAGGGCCAGAGAUCGUGGAUGAGUGGAAGAAGAAGUUUUUUCUUUUUUUCUUUGUUUUUGGUGUGUUGACAAUUUUGUUGUUGUUUUUCUUCUUCUUCUUCUU
rnacentral:ribozyme from 13 species